rnacentral:rRNA from 1 species
GACGGAGGAGGCAAGCGUUAUCCGGAAUUAUUGGGCGUAAAGAGCUCGUAGGCGGUGUGUCGCGUCGGCCGUGAAAACCUGCAGCUUAACUGUGGGCUUGCGGUCGAUACGGGCAUCACUGGAGUUCGGCAGGGGAGACUGGAAUUCCUGGUGUAGCGGUGAAAUGCGCAGAUAUCAGGAGGAACACCGGUGGCGAAGGCGGGUCUCUGGGCCGAUACUGACGCUGAGGAGCGAAAGCGUGGGGAGCGAACAGG